UGCAAAGCUAGUUCGCCUCCACGUGGUGCACCCUGGGUAACGCUAAAUGAACUAGCAAAGAUUUUCAGUCAGACAAUCCUAGGAUCUCCUGUCCAUAAGAUCCAUUUCACAAAGUUUCACUUUUUUUUAAGAGAUAUGAUGCUAUCAAACGAGGCUAACGGUCUUUCUCUUUAUUGUUUUUCUGCUAAUUGUAUUUCUUAAUCUCUUCUUUAUGUGAAUUAUUUCUUAUUUUACUGUAAUUCUUCUCAGACUUCCAAGUCUUUGAUUUCAUUUCUGUUGAUGCCUACAUGGGAUUGUAUAGUUUUCGAUUCUUGAAUGGGAUAUUGUACUGCUUUGGAACAAGGAUUUUUGGACAAGAACAGCUGCACUUCAAUUCAACCACCCUCAUCAAGAUGCCAUAUGGUUGAUUAUAUUCAACAUUCAAUGGUGAAAUAGGAUGAAAUUCAUCAUUGAAGAGGAAUAAAAUAAUUUUAGACAUUAAUAAUAGCACAUAUGAGCACACAUUCUUCAUGCAUCCUUUCACAGAAGAGGAGGUAGGGGUGAUCUCAGAGAAGGUAGCUAAUCUUUGACCAAGGGUUAAGUCCGAUGCAGGAAGAUAAAAAGCAUCGGGAGACAAAGAUUUAUGGCAAAUUGAGGCUUAUCUAACACAGUUCAGCCAUAUCUACAACUACGACUUUGAAACUAAACAAAUAGGCUUUAUCUUCGUGGCAGUUGAUGGUUAUGUCCUUCUUCAUCUGCAACGGUUUGAAGAAGAUGCCCAUUACAUUGAAUAAAUUCAACAUUCAACAGUGGAAUCACGAAAUUCAACAUUGAAGAGAACCUAAAUCAUUUUAGAUUUUGUACAACAAAUCGAUGGAUGUAUACAGUUCCAGGGCAGUACAUUUAUCCUUUUGAUGAAUAUUACCAACAAUGCAUCAGGACUUACAAGUAUAUCUAAUUUUUUUUUUUGGGGGUAAAUAUAUUUCAACUGGUAUUUAAUGUUCAUCACAGUGGAUUUCAUCAUUUUUAAAUUUAAUUAAGUAGGAAAAAAAUCCAAUGAGUCUCUACUUUGUAUUUUUAUGAUUCCUUAAUAUCGUAGACAAAUUCAGACCAUCUAGUUUUAAUUCGGAUAAUUUUUUGGCCUUUGGCCACUUCAUUUUCUUAUUGGUAAAAUCUAAUUAGAAUUUUACAUCAUGUUGUUUUUGGUUAAUUUUCAUUUCUCUAUAAUAGCCUGAGUCCUAUAUUUUCUCCAUUGUGGAAAUAAUAACAUCAUUCAUUAAUUCUUUAAAAUAUUCUAUUGCCUGUAUUUAAGUCUCUUUUAUUUGCAUUAUUUUUCUUAUGGUGUUAUUUUUCAAAUGCUUUUUUGUUUGUGUAAUUCCUUGUACAGAAUUUUAGUUUUGAUGGAUACAUUUUUAUGUCAUUUUGUUCAGAUCGUAUCCCAUGAAUUGCUAUAAUUUUACAGAUCAUGUUGGUUCCCUUUGCCCGUGUUUAAACACACGAAAGACACUUAAAAAUCCUACAAUAAGAACCAUUUCCAAUCAAGUCCUGGCGCAUUCGCCAUUUAUUAAAAAAAACCUGACUCGUCCUCAGACGAUGUCACUUCUGUUUUUCCUAGCCUUUUUUCCAACGAAUUUUCCCAAGUAACAUCGACUUCAGAGCAUCAUAGCUAGCCUCCCCGCAAAAGAGGAGACCCGGGUCGUCCCCUAACCCUGAUGUUCGGGCUUCGAUGACCUAUGUAGCAUGCAUAGGUACCCAAGGGAGUCACCACCCUCUGGUUUACGAGCUAGGUGUUCUAACGCUAGAGGCUUCGGCCGGAUACAACUUGGCACCCAAGCUCCGAGACUUCUUCGUGCACGUAUUCCGUGACCCUCGAAGAGGCAGGGGGCGGGAUAUCGGACACAUUGAAGAUGAUGAGGGGGGUCCGCCUGUAGGGGGUCCCGGUGGAUGUCCGCUCGAUGGGUGACGAGGGCGACCCGAGACGAGGCUGCUUAGCUGGGAUGGGAACUGACUGGUGAGGCUUAAUCGUCGGACAAGGGUUAAAUCGGAUGAGGGUGGCGAACUUGGUGCUCUGGGGGAUUUUUCUUUAUGUGCUUGAUGUCAUAUUUUGACUAGAUAUUCGUUAGAGGAGGCUAAGCAUUGUCUUUGGUCAAUUUUCCAGUUCUUAUUGACCACAUACUCCUUUUUUUCUUGCUUUUGGCCUAUUUCUAUUUAACUUUUUUGGUCUGUCAUAUUUUCUUUUUUUUUUGGAAUUUCCUUAUUUAUCAAUUCUAUAAACUCUUCCCAGUUAUUGUCUUAUAUAUUUGUAUAUUUUUAUUGUGUCAUUUUUCUGAUGCUAUUCUAAAGUGUACUUUAGAAUCAAUUAACACAUUUCUGUUGCCUGUAUAGAAUUAUUUUAUCUUUUUUAUCAAUUUUCAUUCUAUUUUUUCUCAAAUCAUCCCUCAUUUUCGUGGCUUUAUAUUCAUCCCUAUUAUUUGUUUUAUUAUUUUUCACUCAUAUUUUCAUUUCAUAUUCACUCUUCUCUUUGUUUGCCUUAUUCAUUAAUGUCAUCCUUCUAAGGCAUAAUAUUUCAGCAUUUCUAUUUCCUGUAUUAUAUUUUUUUAUUCUUUUUCAAUGCAUCAUAUCUCUAAGUUACGUUCUGUCUCCCAUAUUUUCUUCCUUGUGGGAAUGGCAUCAUUCAGCAAUUCUAUAAACUCUCCCAUUGAUUGUAUUUCUAAGCCUUCUUAUAUUUAUGUAAUUUUAUAUUUUUUUGUAACUUUUCUGAGACUUCUAAAUUCAUUAUACAUUUUUAUACAAUUUUUUUUUCAACUCUACAUACCAACUCUAUUUCUUUAUUUCUAUCUCAUUUUAUUUGCCUACAUUCUGUGAAAUCUUCUAAUUUUUCUCGCAUUUGAGUCUUUUACGGAGUACUGCUUUGGAACAAGAAUGUUUUGGGAAAGCUGCAUUUCCAUUGAAGAUUCCCUUUUGGAGAUGCCAUUAGAUUGGUUAAAUUCAACAUUUACCAGCCGAUUGAGAAUGUAAUUCAUCAUUGAAGUUGAAGCUAAGUCAUUUUAGAACCAAGACUUUCCUGAAGGGUACCCAGAAGAUUUAUUUACGUCCACAUAGACAUCAUCAGCAUGUCCAUCAACACCUUGGAUUUUAUUGUAUUUUUUAGGUUACU
rnacentral:lncRNA from 1 species